GACGAACGCUGGCGGCGUGCUUAACACAUGCAAGUCGAACGAUGAAGCCGGAGCUUGCUCUGGUGAAUUAGUGGCGAACGGGUGAGUAACACGUGAGUAACCUGCCCUUGACUCUGGGAUAACUGCUAGAAAUGGUAGCUAAUACCGGAUACGACCCUCGGAGGCAUCUCCAGGGGGUGGAAAGAAUUUCGGUCAAGGAUGGACUCGCGGCCUAUCAGCUAGUUGGUGAGGUAACGGCUCACCAAGGCGACGACGGGUAGCCGGCCUGAGAGGGUGACCGGCCACACUGGGACUGAGACACGGCCCAGACUCCUACGGGAGGCAGCAGUGGGGAAUAUUGCACAAUGGGCGCAAGCCUGAUGCAGCAACGCCGCGUGAGGGAUGACGGCCUUCGGGUUGUAAACCUCUUUUAGUAGGGAAGAAGCGAAAGAGACGGUACCUGCAGAAAAAGCACCGGCUAACUACGUGCCAGCGGCCGCAGUAA
rnacentral:rRNA from 1 species